rnacentral:tRNA from 1 species
GGGGAUGUAGCUCAGUUGGUAGAGGGCUUGUCUCACAGGCCCUAGGUUUGAUUCCUAGCACCACUG